rnacentral:rRNA from 1 species
GAUUUCUGGUUUAAUGCACCUGGCCCGCAGCCAUUUAGGCUUGUGAGUGCCGGCGCGCGUUUACCAUCCUUCUAGAAAACAAUUCUGCCAUUAACUUGGUGGGAUUGCGAUCUAGAUCUUUUACUUUGAAAAAAUUAGAGUGUUUAAAGCAGGCUUUUGCUAUGAAUACAUUAGCAUGGAAUAAUAAUCUAGGACUUCGGUUCUAUUUUGUUGGUUUCUAUAACUGAAGUAAUGAUUGAUAGGGAUAGUUGGGGGUGCUAGUAUUGGCCGGCCAGAGGUGAAAUUCUUGGAUUCGGUCAAGACUAACUUAUGCGAAAGCAUU